UUUUAAACUUCAUGGUGGUGAAGGCAUGGUAGUGCAUAAAAGUAAGAUUUUUCCAUUGAACUUUGUCUUCCUUGACGAUAUUCUACUUUAUUCAAUAUGCUCAUUAUGUGCACGAUUCUUACCAACUGUGUAUUUAUGACCAUGAGUAACCCUCCAGACUGGACAAAGAAUGUGGAGUAUACCUUUACAGGAAUUUAUACUUUUGAAUCACUUAUUAAAAUACUUGCAAGGGGCUUUUGUUUAGAAGAUUUCACAUUUUUACGGGAUCCAUGGAAUUGGUUGGAUUUCACAGUCAUUACUUUUGCGCCUGAAGACCAUUGUGGGGGCCCUGAUCCAGUCAGUGAAGAAGCUUUCUGAUGUCAUGAUCUUGACUGUGUUCUGUCUAAGCGUGUUUGCGCUAAUAGGAUUGCAGUUGUUCAUGGGCAACCUACGAAAUAAAUGUUUGCAAUGGCCUCCAGAUAAUUCUUCCUUUGAAAUAAAUAUCACUUCCUUCUUUAACAAUUCAUUGGAUGGGAAUGGUACUACUUUCAAUAGGACAGUGAGCAUAUUUAACUGGGAUGAAUAUAUUGAGG
rnacentral:lncRNA from 1 species